UGGUGAGGUAAAGGCUCACCAAGGCGACGAUCCGUAACUGGUCUGAGAGGAUGAUCAGUCACACUGGAACUGAGACACGGUCCAGACUCCUACGGGAGGCAGCAGUGGGGAAUAUUGGACAAUGGGCGAAAGCCUGAUCCAGCCAUGCCGCGUGUGUGAAGAAGGUCUUCGGAUUGUAAAGCACUUUAAGUUGGGAGGAAGGGCAGUAAGUUAAUACCUUGCUGUUUUGACGUUACCGACAGAAUAAGCACCGGCUAACUUCGUGCCAGCAGCCGCGGUAAUACGAAGGGUGCAAGCGUUAAUCGGAAUUACUGGGCGUAAAGCGCGCGUAGGUGGUUCGUUAAGUUGGAUGUGAAAGCCCCGGGCUCAACCUGGGAACUGCAUCCAAAACUGGCGAGCUAGAGUAUGGCAGAGGGUGGUGGAAUUUCCUGUGUAGCGGUGAAAUGCGUAGAU
rnacentral:rRNA from 1 species